rnacentral:rRNA from 1 species
GUACCGUGAGGGAAAGGCGAAAAGAACCCCGGCGAGGGGAGUGAAAAAGAACCUGAAACCGUGUACGUACAAGCAGUGGGAGCACGCUUAGGCGUGUGACUGCGUACCUUUUGUAUAAUGGGUCAGCGACUUAUAUUCUGUAGCAAGGUUAACCGAAUAGGGGAGCCGAAGGGAAACCGAGUCUUAACUGGGCGUUAAGUUGCAGGGUAUAGACCCGAAACCCGGUGAUCUAGCCAUGGGCAGGUUGAAGGUUGGGUAACACUAACUGGAGGACCGAACCGACUAAUGUUGAAAAAUUAGCGGAUGACUUGUGGCUGGGGGUGAAAGGCCAAUCAAACCGGGAGAUAGCUGGUUCUCCCCGAAAGCUAUUUAGGUAGCGCCUCGUGAAUUCAUCUCCGGGGGUAGAGCACUGUUUCGGCAAGGGGGUCAUCCCGACUUACCAACCCGAUGCAAACUGCGAAUACCGGAGAAUGUUAUCACGGGAGACACACGGCGGGUGCUAACGUCCGUCGUGAAGAGGGAAACAACCCAGACCGCCAGCUAAGGUCCCAAAGUCAUGGUUAAGUGGGAAACGAUGUGGGAAGGCCCAGACAGCCAGGAUGUUGGCUUAGAAGCAGCCAUCAUUUAAAGAAAGCGUAAUAGCUCACUGGUCGAGUCGGCCUGCGCGGAAGAUGUAACGGGGCUAAACCAUGCACCGAAGCUGCGGCAGCGACGCUGAUGCGUUGUUGGGUAGGGGAGCGUUCUGUAAGCCUGUGAAGGUGUGCUGUGAGGCAUGCUG